GACGAACGCUGGCGGCGUGCCUAACACAUGCAAGUCGAACGGAAAGGCCCUGCUUUUGUGGGGUUCUCGAGUGGCGAACGGGUGAGUAACACGUGAGUAACCUGCCCUUGACUUUGGGAUAACUUCAGGUAACAGGGGCUAAUACCGGAUAGGAGCUCCUGCUGCAUGGUGGGGGUUGGAUAGGUUCGGCGGUUGGGGAUGGACUCGCGGCUUAUCAGCUUGUUGGUGGGGUAGUGGCUUACCAAGGCUUUGCCGGGUAGCCGGCCUGGGAGGGGGGCCGGGCACAAUGGGACUACGGGACGGCCCAGUCUGCAACAGGGGGCAGCAGGGGGGAGUAUGGCGCAGUGAGGGGGAGCCUGUGGCAACGACGCCGGGUGCGGAAUGUCGGCCUUCGGGGGGGAAACCGAUUUAGGCUGUGACGAAGCGUGAGUGGCGGUAAUGGGUGAAGAAGCACCGGCUAACUACGUG
rnacentral:rRNA from 1 species